GGACUCCUCGGCCCUCUUCACGGAGUCACAACUCAAAACUACACGAGGGCGCGCGGAGCACCGGACACCGGAGCCGGCACAACCACCGCACAAGGCACAACGCCGCCAGCCCGCCAGCCCGCGAUAAACACGGUAACUCUACGCGCGCGCGAGACCCCGCCUGAAUGUGAGCUCCGUUCCGCGGAAUCCAUGCAGUUCAAUCGGGCUCCUCCUGGAGCCGCCGCCCGCCCGCCCUCCCCUCACCUGCUGCGGCAGCACGACUCCCCUCACCUUUGUCUAUGGGCUGUGGCAGAUCGAAUGAGAGGAACCCAGCAGGCAGCUUGAGAAGAAGAGGAGCGGAAUUGCGCGCGCCGGCGCCGUCUCAGCAGAAUACAGGUGCCACACUGCCACGGACCCUCACCGCGUCGAUCUCCAGCCACCGCGCGACCUCCCGAUCGCCGGCGCCGGCGCUGCCGCGGAAUGAACACCUGUGGGCGAGGGAAGCGCGGCGGGCUGGAGGUAGUGGCACGAGACCGAUGGACGGGAGCGCGGGAUGCAUCAGCAGCAAGGUCAGCGGUGGCCGGCGAGCGGCAACGGUGCGCCGCCGGAUGCCAUGUCCGCCGCCCCCGAUUGUUUCGCACAAGAGGCCCCGGUUCGUGAUCCAGCUAUUUUUUAUUUGGCUCCUGAGGUUUACAUAUACCACCCUGAUUUGGAUCGCGAUGAUUUGGAUCGCGAUUAUUAAUCAAGAUCCGAAUAUUUAUAUAUAGACCCAUUGUUUUACAAAUACACCCCUAAUUUGGAUCGUGAUCAAUAAUCGCGAUCCAAUUUAGGGGGUAUCAGUAAAAAGCGAUCCAAAUAUUUGCAUGUGCACCCCUGCUUUGGUUUGGAUCGGCGCUUCCGGCUCCGGUCUGUCCGCCGCCGCUCGCCGCCGGUCAGUAUCGUGAAGCUCCGACCCGAAUCAAGUCCAGGGAAAACGAUUCGCUCCACUAUUCCGUGGGAGGGGCGUCGAUUCAACAUCAUCCCCGGCGAGCAGAGCUAGCAGCACUGCGCUUGACUUCACCGGCGGUUGGCCGGUCGUGGGCUCGCGGCGGCUUCUUUUGUAGCGAGCCUCGCCGCGAGGGUGCACUCCGUAUCCACAGGCUGUAGGUCAGAGAUCGACGGUGAGGGUCCGUGGCACCUGUAUUUCGCUGAGACGGCGCCCGCGCGCGCAACUCCUGUUCCUCUUCUUCUCAGGCUGCCUGCUGGAGUGCUGGUUCCUCUCAUUCGAUCUGCCACAGACAAGGUAUGUGCGAUCCACGAGGCGGUGCGAGCUCGACGACCGCGUGCGUCGUGGGCUGCGACGGAGGCCUCGGCUGCUGCGGCGAGUGUGGUAAGGCAGUCUUUGUAAUUGCCCGUUCGGUUGUCUGACGAAAUUGCUCGUCUGGGACCGGGUUGUGCGAACCUUAGAGAAGAUUUAGUUUUGGCACGCGAUAAUUAGCAACCUUUCCCUCUCAUACAGAAAUCUACCACAUGAGUGAUGUUAUCAUAUACCGAGUAGAAUCUUGUAAUGGUAUUCAUCUGUCAACAGAAGUGGCUCCUGCUUUUUGCAAUUCAAACUUCUGGUCCAUAUUUCUCAUUGCUCCUGCUAAUCUGUAUUUCAGUUCCUCUUCUGCCCAUAGAAUUUAUUUCUGAAUGUAACUUUGCUCGUGGAGAUUUGCACGAUAAAAGUAUACAUGUCCGAAACUUGGAUCAACAGAAACAUCAGAAUAAUUGUGAUCUGGGCCGUUCCAGUCUGACAGUUUUAUUGGAUUAGUGCUGCUGAUAAAUAGUUGCAACAAACACUACUCAUUUACUAUGAGAGAAAGUUCUUCUGAUCAGAUAUGUAAUUUCCAAUACAUUCUAUAUACCUUUCAAUGCUGCUAUGAUCAAUUGUACAAUCGUGAACACUACAUACCUUAUAAAUCACUAAACGCUUUAUAAUCAUAUAAAAUUUGCAUUUUCUUCUCUUUGAUGUAAAUAUAUUUUUAUGGCAUCAACGUAUUUCCUUGUUUUAUUUUUAUUCACAUUUCUACCAACUAGAUUAGGAAGUAAAUCUGUAUAAGAACAAUAAGAGAAGUUCUGCAGAGUGAAACCUACGAUAGCAAUGCUAGCCAUGCCAAAUUAGAGAUUCAAAGCUUCUAUAUGUAAAGAGGAUAUCAGGUAUUGGUUGAGGUAGAUACUCUGGUAAUUCCCAUGGUUUACUAUGCCAUCGUUCUUUCUUGUGAUAUUUUUCUAGCAUUGUUCAUUCCAGUGGUUGUAUUUUGCUGCACAUCAUCUAUGGAAAUAUGGCCUUAGUGUUAUUUUCCUAGCCGAACUAAAUGUUCCUAUAAAUAAUAUAUUUGCUUUGUAGCUGGUAAAACUGCCUCUCCCAGUUAAGUGGAUUAAUGUUUCCAUCAUCAUCAUCUAAUUCUUGUUCAGCUCUACUUUUAAGCUUUUCUGAACCAAUCUUAAGAAAUGCUUAGAAUACUGUCCGACUGCUGAACAUGCUUUCAAGAAGGUGCAAGAAGCUGGGCUGUAGCAUUCUGCUGUCUCGAGGCCUGUCCUUAAUUUUUUUCUAGAAUCUACGGGGGUCCAGGAUAUCAUUGAUUUGAAGAAAGGCUAUCUGAGGCAUGCUGCUUGUGAUGGGACAGAAUUUUAGCUUGGAGUCCACUAUAUGCCCUUUUACGUGGCCACGUGCCAGAGUCUGAUCGGUGCUCCUUUUUCAAAAUCAAGAGGAAAAGAAGGGAUGACGUGCGUCGCUUGGUUUCUGCUACCUGUUCCCUCAAAGUCUCAAG